rnacentral:tRNA from 1 species
GCGCCGGUGGUGCAAUGGCGUAGAGCAUUCCCGUCUGGUCAACAGGAGUCACGGGUUCGAGUCCCGCCUGGCGCU